rnacentral:rRNA from 1 species
CCCUUAGAUGUUCUGGGCCGCACGCGCGCUACACUGACGAUGGCAACGAGUUUUUCCUUCGCUGAAAGGUGUGGGUAAUCUUUUGAAACAUCGUCGUGCUGGGGAUAGAUCAUUGCAAUUUUUGAUCUUGAACGAGGAAUUCCUAGUAAGCGCGAGUCAUCAGCUCGCGUUGAUUACGUCCCUGCCCUUUGUACACACCGCCCGUCGCUACUACCGAUUGAAUGGUUUAGUGAGGACUCCUGAUUGGCGCCGCCGCCCCGGCAACGGAGCAGCGGACUGCCGAAAAGUUGUUCAAACUUGAUCAUUUAGAGGAAGUAAAAGUCGUAACA